AUCAGCUGAGCUUAAAGAAAGAAGCGGGGAUUCAUGUCGCCGGCCCCAACUUGUUUGGGACUUAGGCAUAGUUGUUUUUGUUGCAUCUAUGGAGAUCGAAAAAGUGAAUUUCCUCAGUGAGUAGCAAAGCUGCCCGAUAAGUCAUUUGCACCGUGUCCUUUCAGAUGAACGUUUCCUGAUCAUUCUCUGAAGCUUAGAAUAGAUGAUAUAUUGAUUCGAGGAUUGAAGUGGAGCAAGCUGCUUGAUCCUGACAAGAGAGGCCAGUGGUGGAUAGCUGGGAAUAUUGAUUCCACAACAACUGAUAUUCAAGAUGUUGCCAGCACAAUUGACUUGGAGGUCACGGAGGCUCAAAAGAUGCUCCAGCUUGCCGCUGCUCAGAGGAUGAACACUGAUGCAAGAAGGGCAAUAUUCUGUGUAAUAAUGAGUGGGGAGGACUAUAUUGAUGCAUUUGAGAAACUUCUAAGAUUGGAUUUGUCAGGCAAGCAGGAUAGGGAAAUCAUGAGAGUUUUGGUAGAAUGCUGUU